CCCAGACUCCUACGGGAGGCAGCAGUGGGGAAUAUUGCACAAUGGGCGCAAGCCUGAUGCAGCCAUGCCGCGUGUAUGAGGAAGGCCUUCGGGUUGUAAAGUACUUUCAGCGGGGAGGAAGGCGAUAAGGUUAAUAACCUUGUCGAUUGACGUUACCCGCAGAAGAAGCACCGGCUAACUCCGUGCCAGCAGCCGCGGUAAUACGGAGGGUGCAAGCGUUAAUCGGAAUUACUGGGCGUAAAGCGCACGCAGGCGCUCUGUCAAGUCGGAUGUGAAAUCCCCGGGCUCAACCUGGGAACUGCAUUCGAAACUGGCAGGCUGGAGUCUUGUAGAGGCGGGUAGAAUUCCAGGUGUAGCGGUGAAAUGCGUAGAGAUCCCGAGGAAUACCGGUGGCGAAGGCGCCCCCCUGGACAAAGACUGACACUCAGGUGCGAAAGCGUGGGGCCCAAACAGGAUUAGAUACCCUGGUAG
rnacentral:rRNA from 1 species